UGGGUAAUGCUGGUGAUGAAUGAUGCACUUCACCAGAUUGAUACCUUUUACGGCGAUAAAACGAUUGAUUUCUGAGAUAAAACAAUGCAUUUGCUUACCUCAUGAUUUUAUGACUAUUACAUUUAAAGCCUGGUUAGUAUGGCAGUCUGUUCGGGUCUCAUAGAAGGCCUUUCGGCUAAUCUAGAACUAAGAAGUUUCGAGAUCUGAGUUCAUUAGUCAUAUAUUCUGCAGCACAUCUUGCUUCAAAAGAACACAUACAAUUUUAUUAUUAUUAUUAUUAUUAUUUUGUUUUUUUAACGAUGGUAAAGGUAGUUGCAGUAUUAACUUAAAUUUUAAUUUUUCAGCUUGAAGAUCUUUGUACCAAUGACAAUCCUAGCUCUGUUAGUUCUUAUUCCGGUGAAUGUAUAAGAUGGGACAUUGAAAAAUAUUAACAAAGACAUAGUUUUCAGUGGCAUUGAUAAGCUCUCAAUUUCAAAUGUUACGGAGGGUUCUCAACGGUUAUGGUUUCACCUGUCAAUGGCAUAAUUGUUCACCAUAUGGACUUGCUACGUCCUUUACAAGGAGUAUGGACAUAUAACCUUCAUGAGAUUGCAUUUUCUAGAAGAUCAAUAUCGUCGUGCUGCUCAGUUCACUGUAGUUGUCAGAAAUAACCCACAUGUUUCUGGGCAAUCUAUAUCGAAAAGCGUGGAUCAGUUUUUUCACCAGAACCAUCCUGAACACUACCUUGGCCACCAGGAUUUCUUGGGCUUUGUGGUGUAAGAACGGAUGCAAUUGACUACUAUAGUGAAAGCAUCUAGGAAAUUGACAAAUACGUAAGUCAAUUGUAUUUCCUAAGAAGUUUCCUGCAUCACUUCAGACAUGGUAUUAAUGUAUGGAUGUUAAUGAGAGAGUAAGUUAGUAGCAGAGCGUCAGAUAAUUCUCAAAGAUCCAAAGUCUAUCAUGCCUGUAGCAUUUGUUUCAUUUGACUCGAGAUGGGCUGGCUGCUAUUUGUGCUCAAACUCAGCAAAGUAGGAACCCAACACGCUGGUUAACUUACUGGGCACCAGAGCCACGCGAUGUUUACUGGAAGAAUCUAGCUAUACCAUUUGUUUCUCUCAGCAUCAGAAAACUGCUUAUAUCAUUAUCUGUGUUCGCUCUGGUAUUCUUUUACAUGAUACCUAUUGCUGACGUGCAGUCACUGGAAAAUCUCGAUAGUCUGGAAAAAACGGCUACUUUCCUCAGGCCUGUGAUAGAGCUAUGCAAUUGCUUCCAAGCGAGAAAACCUGCAAAGGGAGAUGGAACGGCGGAUAGUAACACAACAUAUGACUUGCAUGGAUGUAUAACAUCACACCCAGUCUUCUGAUGAUUCCCAAAAACAUCUGAGAAGAAGCUUGGUUAUGUUCUUGUUAGCGGAGCAACAAACAAACAAAAUGCAAUUGACCAACCUUUAAGGAGAGCUGGACGGUUUGAUCGUGAGAAUUCUUUGGGUGAACCUGAUGAAAAAACCACUGCUAGAGAUCCUGUCAGUUAUUACUCGAAAAUGUAAAUGUGUGUUUUGGAGAGAGUGGAGUCAAUGAGAUAUAGUUUUAUAUAAUAAUUAUGUCCUUUUGAACUUUUAAGUGUUUCAUAAAAUUACAAGCUGAGUAUUGCAUGAUUGCAA